rnacentral:piRNA from 1 species
UGGAUUGUGGACUAUAAAAAUCAGAUGGU